rnacentral:rRNA from 1 species
GUAGGUGGCAAGCGUUGUCCGGGAAUUAUUGGGGCGUAAAGCGCGCGCAGGCGGUUCUUUAAGUCUGAUGUGAAAGCCCACGGGCUCAACCGUGGAGGGUCAUUGGAAACUGGAGAACUUGAGUACAGAAGAGGAAAGCGGAAUUCCACGUGUAGCGGUGAAAUGCGCAGAGAUGUGGAGGAACACCAGUGGCGAAGGCGGCUUUCUGGUCUGUAACUGACGCUGAGGCGCGAAAGCGUGGGGAGCAAACAGGAUUAGAUACCCUGGUAGUCCACGCCGUAAACGAUGAGUGCUAAGUGUUAGGGGGUUUCCGCCCCUUAGUGCUGCAGCUAACGCAUUAAGCACUCCGCCUGGGGAGUACGGCCGCAAAGGCUG